GCUCCAGUGGCCUAGUGGUUAGAGUGUCCACCUCAGAUGUUGGAGGUCGUGGGUUCGAUCCCUGUUGAGUCA